rnacentral:rRNA from 1 species
GACGAACGCUGGCGGCGUGCUUAACACAUGCAAGUCGAACGAUGAAGCUGGAGCUUGCUCCGGUGGAUUAGUGGCGAACGGGUGAGUAACACGUGAGCAAUCUGCCCUUGACUCUAGGAUAACUGCGGGAAACUGUAGCUAAUACCGGAUACGAGAUUUGGAGGCAUCUCCGGAUCUGGAAAGGAUUUCGGUCAAGGAUGAGCUCGCGGCCUAUCAGCUUGUUGGUGAGGUAAUGGCUCGCCAAGGCGACGACGGGUAGCCGGCCUGAGAGGGUGACAGGCCAGACUGGGCCUGAGACACGGCCCAGACUCCUACGGGAGGCAGCAGGGGAGAAUAUUGCACAAUGGGCGAAAGCCUGAUGCAGCAACGCCGCGUGAGGGUUGAAGGCCUUCGGUUUGUAAACCUCUUUUAGUAGGGAAGAAGCGAAAGUGACGAUACCUACAGAAAAAGCACCGGCUAACUACGUGCCAGCCGCCGCCGUAA